rnacentral:rRNA from 1 species
AGUGAACGCUGGCGGUAGGCCUAACACAUGCAAGUCGAACGGCAGCACAGGAGAGCUUGCUCUCUGGGUGGCGAGUGGCGGACGGGUGAGGAAUACAUCGGAAUCUACUCUGUCGUGGGGGGUAACGUAGGGAAACUUACGCUAAUACCGCAUACGACCUACGGGUGAAAGCAGGGGACCUUCGGGCCUUGCGCGAUUGAAUGAGCCGAUGUCGGAUUAGCUAGUUGGCGGGGUAAAGGCCUACCAAGGCGACGAUCCGUAGCUGGUCUGAGAGGAUGAUCAGCCACACUGGAACUGAGACACGGUCCAGACUCCUACGGGAGGCAGCAGUGGGGAAUAUUGGACAAUGGGCGCAAGCCUGAUCCAGCCAUACCGCGUGGGUGAAGAAGGCCUUCGGGUUGUAAAGCCCUUUUGUUGGGAAAGAAAUCCAGCUGGCUAAUACCCGGUUGGGAUGACGGUACCCAAAGAAUAAGCACCGGCUAACUUCGUGCCAGCAGCCGCAGUAA